rnacentral:rRNA from 1 species
GACUACAUGAAGCUGGAAUCGCUAGUAAUCGCAGGUCAGCAUACUGCGGUGAAUACGUUCCCGGGUCUUGUACACACCGCCCGUCACACCAUGGGAGCCGGAAAUGCCCGAAGCCAGUGACCCAACCUUAGGGAGGGAGCUGUCGAAGGUGGAGCCGGUAACUGGGGUGAAGUCGUAACAAGGUACC